rnacentral:rRNA from 1 species
GACGAACCGUGCGAACGUUGUUCGGAAUCACUGGGCUUAAAGGGCGCGUAGGCGGGCCGCCAAGUCAGGGGUGAAAUCCUCCCGCUCAACGGGAGAACAGCUUCUGAUACUGGCGGCCUCGAGGGGGUAGGGGCAUGCGGAACUUCCGGUGGAGCGGUGAAAUGCGUAGAUAUCGGAAGGAACGCCGGUGGCGAAAGCGGCGUGCUGGACCCUUCUGACGCUGAGGCGC